GACGAACGCUGGCGGCGUGCCUAAUACAUGCAAGUUGAGCGCUGAAGGUUGGUACUUGUACCGACUGGAUGAGCAGCGAACGGGUGAGUAACGCGUGGGGAAUCUGCCUUUGAGCGGGGGACAACAUUUGGAAACGAAUGCUAAUACCGCAUAAAAACUUUAAACACAAGUUUUAAGUUUGAAAGAUGCAAUUGCAUCACUCAAAGAUGAUCCCGCGUUGUAUUAGCUAGUUGGUGAGGUAAAGGCUCGCCAAGGCGAUGAUAAAUAGCCGACCUGGGAGGGUGAUCGGCCACAUUGGGACUGAGACACGGCCCAAACUCCUACGGGAGGCAGCAGUAGAGAAUCUUCGGCAAUGGACGAAAGUCUGACCGAGCAACGCCGCGUGAGUGAAGAAGGUUUUCGGAUCGUAAAACUCUGCUGGUAGAGAAGAACGUUGGUGAGAGUGGAAAGCUCAUCAAGUGACGGUAACUACCCAGAAAGGGACGGCUAACUACGUGCAGCAGCCGCCGUAA
rnacentral:rRNA from 1 species